AACGAACGCUGGCGGCAUGCCUAACACAUGCCAGUCGAACGAGACCUUCGGGUCUAGUGGCGCACGGGUGCGUAACGCGUGGGAAUCUGCCCUUGGGUUCGGAAUAACAGUUAGAAAUGACUGCUAAUACCGGAUGAUGUCUUCGGACCAAAGAUUUAUCGCCCAGGGAUGAGCCCGCGUAGGAUUAGCUUGUUGGUGGGGUAAAGGCCUACCAAGGCGACGAUCCUUAGCUGGUCUGAGAGGAUGAUCAGCCACACUGGGACUGAGACACGGCCCAGACUCCUACGGGAGGCAGCAGUGGGGAAUAUUGGACAAUGGGCGAAAGCCUGAUCCAGCAAUGCCGCGUGAGUGAUGAAGGCCUUAGGGUUGUAAAGCUCUUUUACCCGGGAUGAUAAUGACAGUACCGGGAGAAUAAGCCCCGGCUAACUCCGUG
rnacentral:rRNA from 1 species